CGGUUUGAUCAGUCCAUUGGGAAAUCUGGUGGCUUAACCGUCAGAAUUCCAAUGGAUACUGUCAGACUUGGGACCGGGAGAGGUAAGAGGUACUACAGGGGUAGGAGUGAAAUCUUGUAAUCCCUGUAGGACCACCAGUUGCGAAGGCGUCUUACCAGAACGGGUCCGACGGUGAGGGACGAAAGCUGGGGGCACGAACCGGAUUAGAUACCCGGGUAGUCCCAGCCGUAAACGAUGCUCGCUAGGUGUUAGGGAUGGUACGGCCGUUCCUAGUGCCGAAGGGAAGCCGUGAAGCGAGCCACCUGGGAA
rnacentral:rRNA from 1 species